rnacentral:rRNA from 1 species
AGCAGCAGCCGCGGGAAUACGGAGGGUGCAAGCGUUACUCGGAAUCACUGGGCGUAAAGGACGCGUAGGCGGAUUAUCAAGUCUCUUGUGAAAUCUAAUGGCUUAACCGUUAAACUGCUUGGGAAACUGAUAAUCUAGAGUAAGGGAGAGGCAGAUGGAAUUCUUGGUGUAGGGGUAAAAUCCGUAGAGAUCAAGAAGAAUACCCAUUGCGAAAGCGAUCUGCUGGAACUUAACUGACGCUAAUGCGUGAAAGCGUGGGGAGCAAACAGGAUUAGAUACCCCAGUAGUCCCUGUCUCUUAUAC